UAAUCAACAAAAAAAAUCAAC
rnacentral:piRNA from 1 species